AUUAUUAUUAUUAUGGCUCUACCUGUAUUAGCAGGAGCUAUUACAAUGAUUUUAACUGAUCGAAACUUCAA